CAGUGUGGGAAGCUGCUUGAUUUCAAGCUGCGGCAUACCGUCCGGCUAUUAAAGUUCCGUGCUCAAGCCAAAGAAUGGGCACAAACAACAAAAAAAUCAAGGAACCAAACAAAGGUGUUGGACAAUUCAUUUAUCAUGAUGGAAAAACUUAAGGCCCUUGGCUACUUCCCUCUCCUGCUAUGGGGGAAAUACAGCCGUUCAAAAUGGAGAGCACAAUUCCACAUUCCGUUUGAGAUGCCAGCUGCAGCUCAUGGGGUGUUGGAAAAGGUGUUAAUCCUAUUCGAGCAUAUUUUACAAGGAAGUCACCUGUAAAUGUUUCUGCCAAAAAACAGGGCAAAACUAAGAGGGACAAAAAAGUCAAAGGUAGGAAAAAGACUGUAUAUGCAAUAAAGCCACAUAAAACAUAUUUGUAUUCAUGCAUUAUUAAUUACUGUGUGUGGAGUAUAUGUAUGUUUAUUGUAUAAUUUUUUUGACAGAGUGCCAAUUCCAUGGAUCACUGGACGUUUUCCCAGUGGAAUCUGUGUCGAUGAGUCGCAUAAGAAAGAUUAGUAAAAAAACACAAAUCAAAAGACACCAAUCCCACAUUAAAACUGAAAUACUGUUCAUUACCUUUUUGAUGUUUGGUUAAUUCACAAAGAUACAGUUGAUGCUCAAAAUAUUUUUAUAUGGUAGUGAAAAGCACAAGAACUUGACUGCCUGACAUCAGAUGCCGUAGAUGGAGCUCUGUCUAACCUGUAUUGCAUUCAGUUCUUUAAUGUCUCAAUUAACAUAUUAAGGUGUUGGUACUUUUGUGAAAGAACCAAAUUACUGCCCUGCCAGUGCAUCAGCUGAUCUGUCCUUUAAACACAUUAGGGUUUUGCAUUUCCCUGGUCUUUGUCCUUACAAAUUAUAUUUUGAUAGAUGAAAGUAGUUUGGUGUGAUGGAUGAGGUAGAUGACUGACAAACAAAUACAAAAGAACAUAGCUUCAGGUGUGUGUGCUUAUAAAAAGUCACGCUGACUCUGCUUCAGGUGUGGGGGGGAGGGGGGGGGGGCUUGGCAUGGAUUCCGAGUUGCAUUUCAUACAACCAAACAUAUCUUUUAAUGUUUUAUACCCUAAUGUAUAUACAAUGAUGUUAUGUUUACAGUUGCUUACAAUUACAAAAUGUAAUGUAAUUUAGCCAUUUAUUAUCCAUAAAAUGUAUUGUUUAUUCUGUGUUUUACUCAUUUCUAAGGGGCACAAAGAGGUUAAGGUGAAUUGGUUGCCUUGUCCAUCAUGUAAGAAGACUUGGCCACCCACUUGGGAGCCUGAGGGUAAUGUCCAGAUGACCCUAACUGUCUGUUAAUGUGGCAUGGAUGACUGAAGUUCCAGAUGUUACCUUUCUCGUAAUAAACUUGGUUUCAUGGUUAAGA